CAGUCGCCGCGGGAAUACAGAGGGUGCGAGCGUUAAUCGGAUUUACUGGGCGUAAAGCGUGCGUAGGCGGCUUUUUAAGUCGGAUGUGAAAUCCCUGAGCUUAACUUAGGAAUUGCAUUCGAUACUGGGAAGCUAGAGUAUGGGAGAGGAUGGUAGAAUUCCAGGUGUAGCGGUGAAAUGCGUAGAGAUCUGGAGGAAUACCGAUGGCGAAGGCAGCCAUCUGGCCUAAUACUGACGCUGAGGUACGAAAGCAUGGGGAGCAAACAGGAUUAGAUACCCGUGUAGUCCCUGUCUCUUAUAU
rnacentral:rRNA from 1 species